CGAUUUGGUCUGCGUUUGAGUAUCCUUACGGGCUUUUCAAACUAAUAGUAUACCAAAUCAAUUUAUAGGAGACGUGUUAGUGGCCCGUAUCGCUGGCAUUAACGUUCCUGAU
rfam:Pseudoalteromonas luteoviolacea B = ATCC 29581, WGS project CAPN01000000 data, contig: 41